GCGCCUAAUACAUGCAAGUCGAGCGAGAAAGUGUAGCAAUACACUUGUAAAGCGGCGAACGGGUGAGGAAUACAUGGGUAAUCUACCAUCGAGUGGGGAAUAACCAGCCGAAAGGUUGGCUAAUACCGCGUACGCUUCCGAGUCUCGGGCUUGGAAGGAAAGCCGCACUGUGAGUGCGGCGCUCUUUGAUGAGCUCAUGUCCUAUCAGCUUGUUGGUAGGGUAACGGCCUACCAAGGCUUUGACGGGUAGCUGGUCUGAGAGGACGAUCAGCCACACUGGCACUGCGACACCGGGCCAGACUCCUACGGGAGGCAGCAGUGAGGAAUAUUGCGCAAUGGGACGAAAGCCUGACGCAGCGACGCCGCGUGGGGAUGAAGGUUUUCGGAUUGUAAACCCCUUUCAUGAGGAAAGAUAAAGUGGGUAACCACUUAGACGGUACCUCAAGAAGAAGCCACGGCUAACUUCGUG
rnacentral:rRNA from 1 species